rnacentral:rRNA from 1 species
AUUGAACGCUGGCGGCAUGCUUUACACAUGCAAGUCGGAACGGGGUGAGGGGGCAACUCCUCAUCUAGUGGCGAACGGGUGAGUAAUGCAUCGGAACGUGUCCCGUAGUGGGGAUAACCCGGCGAAAGCCGGACUAAUACCGCAUAUGCUCUACGGAGGAAAGUGGGGAUCCGCGAGGACCUCACGCUAUGGGAGCGGCCGAUGUCCGAUUAGCUAGUUGGUGGGGUAAUGGCCUACCAAGGCGACGAUCGGUAGCUGGUCUGAGAGGAUGAUCAGCCACACUGGGACUGAGACACGGCCCAGACUCCUAC